AGUGAACGCUGGCGGCAGGCCUAACACAUGCAAGUCGAGCGGCAGCGGGUCCUUCUGGAUGCCGGCGAGCGGCGGACGGGUGAGGAAUGCAUCGGAAUCUGCCCUGUCGUGGGGGAUAACCUAGGGAAACUUAGGCUAAUACCGCAUACGACCCACGGGUGAAAUUGGGGGAUCGCAAGACCUCGCGCGAUAGGAUGAGCCGAUGUCCGAUUAGCUAGUUGGCGGGGUAAAGGCCCACCAAGGCGACUAUCGGUAGCUGGUCUGAGAGGAUGAUCAGCAAAACUGGAACUGAGACACGGCCCAGACUCCUACGGGAGGCAGAAGUGGGGAAUAUUGGACAAUGGGCGAAAGCCUGAUCCAGCAAUGCCGCGUGGGUGAAGAAGGCCUUCGGGUUGUAAAGCCCUUUUGUCCGGGAAGAAAUCGUCUGGGCUAAUACCCCGGGCGGAUGACGGUACCGGAAGAAUAAGCACCGGCUAACUUCGUG
rnacentral:rRNA from 1 species